rnacentral:rRNA from 1 species
UACGUAGGGGGCAAGCGUUGUCCGGAAUCAUUGGGCGUAAAGCGCGUGUAGGCGGCUUGGUAAGUCUGCUCUGAAAGCCCGGGGCUUAACCCCGGGUCUGCAGUCGAUACGGGCAGGCUAGAGUGUGGUAGGGGAGAUCGGAAUUCCUGGUGUAGCGGUGAAAUGCGCAGAUAUCAGGAGGAACACCGGUGGCGAAGGCGGAUCUCUGGGCCAUUACUGACGCUGAGGAGCGAAAGCGUGGGGAGCGAACAGG